rnacentral:rRNA from 1 species
AGCAGUAGCCGCGGUAAUGCGAAGGGGGCUAGCGUUGUUCGGAAUCACUGGGCGUAAAGCGCACGUAGGCGGAUACUUAAGUCAGGGGUGAAAUCCCGGGGCUCAACCUCGGAACUGCCUUUGAUACUGGGUAUCUUGAGUCCUGGAGGGGUUGGUGGAACUCCGAGUGUAGAGGUGAAAUUCGUAGAUAUUCGGAAGAACACCAGUGGCGAAGGCGGCCAACUGGCCCGGUACUGACGCUGAGGUGCGAAAGCGUGGGGAGCAAACAGGAUUAGAUACCCCAGUAGUCCCUGUCUUUAUACA